rnacentral:rRNA from 1 species
GGGUUGUGAGGUUAAGCGACUAAGCGUACACGGUGGAUGCCCUGGCAGUCAGAGGCGAUGAAGGGCGUGCUAAUCUGCGAUAAGCGCCGGUAAGGUGAUAUGAACCGUUAUAACCGGCGAUACCCGAAUGGGGAAACCCAGUGUGAUUCGUCACACUAUCAUUAACUGAAUCCAUAGGUUAAUGAGGCGAACCGGGGGAACUGAAACAUCUAAGUACCCCGAGGAAAAGAAAUCAACCGAGAUUCCCCCAGUAGCGGCGAGCGAACGGGGAGGAGCCCAGAGCCUGAAUCAGCAUGUGUGUUA